rnacentral:rRNA from 1 species
GGAGUUAGCCGGUGCUUCUUCUGUGAGUGAUGUCCUUCCUGCCGGCUAUUAACCCGCAGGCCUUCUUCCUCACUGAAAGUGCUUUACAACCCGAAGGCCUUCUUCACACACGCGGCAUGGCUGGAUCAGGGUUGCCCCCAUUGUCCAAUAUUCCCCACUGCUGCCUCCCGUAGGAGUCUGGGCCGUGUAUCAGUCCCAGUGUGGCUGAUCAUCCUCUCAGACCAGCUACGGAUCGUCGCCUUGGUGAGCCGUUACCUCACCAACCAGCUAAUCCGACAUAGGCUCAUCCGAUAGCGCGAGGCCCGAAGGUCCCCCGNUUUCCCCCGUAGGGCGUAUGCGGUAUUAGCCUGGGUUUCCCCAGGUUAUCCCCCACUACCGGGCAGAUUCCUAUGCAUUACUCACCCGUCCGCCGCUCGCCACCAGGGAGCAAGCUCCCCGUGCUGCCGCUCGACUUGCAUGUGUUAGGCCUGCCGCCAGCGUUCAAUCUGAGCCAGGAUCAAACUCUGA